CCUACGGGUGGCAUCAGUGAGGAAUAUUGGUCAAUGGACGAGAGUCUGAACCAGCCAAGUAGCGUGAAGGAUGACUGCCCUAUGGGUUGUAAACUUCUUUUAUAUGGGAAUAAAACGUUCCACGUGUGGGAUUUUGUAUGUACCAUAUGAAUAAGGAUCGGCUAACUCCGUGCCAGCAGCCGCGGUAAUACGGAGGAUCCGAGCGUUAUCCGGAUUUAUUGGGUUUAAAGGGAGCGUAGGUGGAUUGUUAAGUUAGUUGUGAAAGUUUGCGGCUCAACCGUAAAAUUGCAGUUGAAACUGGCAGUCUUGAGUACAGUAGAGGUGGGCGGAAUUCGUGGUGUAGCGGUGAAAUGCUUAGAUAUCACGAAGAACUCCGAUUGCGAAGGCAGUUCACUGGACUGCAACUGACACUGAGGCUCGAAAGUGUGGGUAUCAAACAGGAUUAGAUACCCCAGUAGUC
rnacentral:rRNA from 1 species